ensembl:lncRNA
GAGAGAUGGAGAGAGAUGGAGAGUUGGAGAGAUAUUGAGAGAUGGAGAGAUAUUGAGAGAUGGAGAGAUAUUGAGAGAUGGAGAGAUAUUGAGAGAUGGAGAGUGGUUGAGAUAUUGAGAGAUGGAGAGAUGGAGAAAGAUACGUGAUGGAGAGAGAUGGAGAGAGAUGUAGAGUUGGAGAGAUAUUGAGAGAUGGAGAAAGAUUACGUGAUGGAGAGAUGGAGAGAGAUGGAGAGAGAUGGAGAGAUGGAGAGAGAUGGAUGAAGGCAGUAAUUGUGUUUCUCUCAGUAAGAGUUUUUAAGGCUGACCUUUUCCCGAGCAGCUCCUGUCACCCCGCAGGUUCACCAGCGCUCUGUCCCACAGCCUCCGGACGUCUCUUUAGAUUUUAUCACGGGCCUAAUUUACUCUGGGGACAUUUCCUCACUGAUUUCU